CGCAUGCGCAACUUCCUUUUCUACGCAGGCGAGGAAGAAGUGUGUGCUCGUGCUGCACAUUGCACUAGCAAACCGAGGGAAACCAAAUGAAGAUGUUUGUUGCAGGCGUACAAGAGGACCAUUGUAAAGAUUACUUGAUUGACACUGGAAAUGGAUGAACGGAGAACCAUAUCUUAAGUAAUAAGGUUUAACUUGAUUGCCACUGGCAAAGGAUGACAUGAAUCACAUCUUAAGCAAUGAGAUUACUUGAUGAAAUGAAAAAAAGGAUGAUGUGUGUCACAUCUUAACGAAUAAGGUUACUGUAUUACCAGUGACAAAGGACGACAUGAAUCACAUAUAAAGCAAUAAGGGUAAAGAAUUGCUAAUGAGGGUGACUGGCUCCUGAAGAUGGCGAUUGGUUUCACCCCUCAGCAAACAAUGUUGUUAGAAUGUAACAGUAGUAGCUUGUGAUAAAUAAAAUAUUUUUACAGAAUGAAA